rnacentral:rRNA from 2 species
AACGACUCUCGGCAACGGAUAUCUCGGCUCUCGCAUCGAUGAAGAACGUAGCGAAAUGCGAUACUUGGUGUGAAUUGCAGAAUCCCGUGAACCAUCGAGUCUUUGAACGCAAGUUGCGCCCUAAGCUGUUAGGCCGAGGGCACGUCUGCCUGGGUGUCACGC